AGAGCUUGCUUUCUCGAGCGAGUGGCGAACGGGUGAGUAACGCGUGAGGAACCUGCCUCAAAGAGGGGGACAACAGUUGGAAACGACUGCUAAUACCGCAUGAUGUUUCGAGAGGACAUCCUCUUGAAACCAAAGGAGCAAUCCGCUGUAAGAUGGCCUCGCGUCUGAUUAGAUAGUUGGUGGGGUAACGGCCUACCAAGUCGACGAUCAGUAGCCGGACUGAGAGGUUGAACGGCCACAUUGGGACUGAGACACGGCCCAGACUCC
rnacentral:rRNA from 1 species